ensembl:lncRNA
GGAAGAGGCAUGUAUUUAAGCCUCCACUAUCUGUUGAUCUCAUUUAAACUGAACUCUGCGGUACCAACGAGGCUUCAUUCUGGUUGACAACAGGUUGGUGUUCUUAAUUUGACGCUUAGACCAGUCCAAGGACAGAAACGGAAAUGUCUGAGAGUCCUGCUGAAGGAGAAGGCCUUGAAUUGAGGAAGAAAAACGAAGAGAGAGUCGAAGAGAUAGUCGAAGACCUCGCCUCAGCCAUUGAGGGCCUCGGAAAGUUGAAGCCCAAGAUACAAGGAGCGAUUGAAGUAUCAAUUGGGAUCUUGAUGGCACUGGCAGCAAUUACGUAUCUGGCUGUUGGAAUUUCCAUUUACCUAACACUAAUGCUCUACUGGGAAAUCUUCAUCUGAGCCCCGUCCCGGAUCCAGGACGACGUGUGGGAUCGGCAUAUCCUGCCAGGGGCGGAGCCGUCCCCUGGACCGGAAGACUGGGGCAGACCUGGUGGUGGUCGGGUGGUGGUGGGGUGGGGUGGGGUGGGGUUCGAGGGGGGAGCAACGA